CAGUAGCCGCGGUAAUACAGAGGGUGCAAGCGUUAAUCGGAUUUACUGGGCGUAAAGCGUGCGUAGGCGGCUUUUUAAGUCGGAUGUGAAAUCCCUGAGCUUAACUUAGGAAUUGCAUUCGAUACUGGGAAGCUAGAGUAUGGGAGAGGAUGGUAGAAUUCCAGGUGUAGCGGUGAAAUGCGUAGAGAUCUGGAGGAAUACCGAUGGCGAAGGCAGCCAUCUGGCCUAAUACUGACGCUGAGGUACGAAAGCAUGGGGAGCAAACAGGAUUAGAUACCCCUGUAGUCCCUGUCUCUUAUAC
rnacentral:rRNA from 1 species